rnacentral:lncRNA from 1 species
CGGUGAUUCAGAUGUCUACUUAGAUUGUAGUCCCAUAGGCUCCAUUGUACAGCUACAUGAAUAUACGGCGUAAAAGGGUUUAAAAUUGCCGAGGCUGAUAUUUUGGGGGAGGAGAUAGCUGAAGGAACGCUCUUUUCAAGGAGCUACAUGUAUGGCAAAUGCGUAGUACUUUUUUUAUAUAGUUUUACCCAAAAUGUUGACUUGCUAGACCCCUCAGUCCCCCUUUAAAAAUCCUGGAUUCUCAUCCGAUUUGAUAUAUAUCUAAACUGUUAACAACGUUGCUUGAGUAAUAACAAUUAUGUUUGAGAAUUAAAAAUAGAUAGGUUCCUUUAAAUGUAGCUGAACAUUUUGUUUAAACUAUCUAGAGUACACAUGUACAUGUACAUGUGAUUUUAAUCGUGGAUAUUUUAAAUCCCUGUUAACUAAUGCGUGACUUGGGCUUCUGGUACAAAUUAAAACAUGGAAUUAUUCAUCCAAACUCACAGAAAGAUUCUUGAGAUUUAAAUUUCCACAGAAUAAUAAAAACAAUAAAAAAAAUUAAACAUU